AAAGAUUAAGCCAUGCAUGUAUAAGUAUAAACGACUUGAUCGUGAAACCGCGAACGGCUCAUUAUAACAGCUAUAAUUUACUUGAUCUUGACAACCUACUUGGAUAACUGCGGUAAUUCUAGAGCUAAUACAUGCACCAAAGCUCCGACCGUAAGGGAAGAGCGCAUUUAUUAGAACAAAACCAAGCGGCUUCGGCCGUCCAAUGUUGACUCAGAAUAACUAAGCUGAUCGCAUGGUCUUGAACCGGCGACGUGUCUUUCAAGUAUCUGCCUUAUCAACUUUCGAUGGUAGUGUAUCUGACUACCAUGGUGGUGACGGGUAACGGAGGAUAAGGGUUCGACUCCGGAGAAGGGGCCUGAGAAAUGGCCACUACGUCUAAGGAUGGCAGCAGGCGCGCAAAUUACCCAAUCCCAGAACGGGGAGGUAGUGACGAAAAAUAACGAGACCGUUCUCUUAUGAGGCCGGUCAUCGGAAUGGGUACAAUUUAAACCCUUUAACGAGUAUCUAUGAGAGGGCAAGUCUGGUGCCAGCAGCCGCGGUAAUUCCAGCUCCAAUAGCGUAUAUUAAAGUUGUUGCGGUUAAAACGCUCGUAGUUGGAUCUGCGGCCUCGAAGGAUGGUCCCCCGAAAGGGCGGUCACUAUCUCUUCUAGCCUAAAUUCGAGUCGUCUCUAGGUGCUCUUUACUGAGUGCUUAGAGUGACUAGAACGUUUACUUUGAAAAAAUUAGAGUGCUUAAAGCAGACGAAAUAGUCUGAAUAAGGUGCAUGGAAUAAUGGAAUAGGAUCUCGGUUCUAUUUUGUUGGUUUUCGGAGCCCGAGAUAAUGAUUAAGAGGAACAGACGGGGGCAUUCGUAUUUCGGCGCUAGAGGUGAAAUUCUUGGACCGCCGAAAGACGAACGACUGCGAAAGCAUUUGCCAAGAAUC
rnacentral:rRNA from 1 species